GAUCCCGUGCAAGGUUAAGCAGAAGAUGCGGAGCCGCAGCGAAAGCGAGUCUGAAUAGGGCGAAUUGAGUACGUGGUCGUAGACCCGAAACCAGGUGAUCUACCCAUGUCCAGGGUGAAGUUCAGGUAACACUGAAUGGAGGCCCGAACCCACGCACGUUGAAAAGUGCGGGGAUGAGGUGUGGGUAGAAGUGAGAAUGCCGGUAUGAGUAGCGAAAGAGGGGUGAGAAUCCCCUCCACCGAAUGCCUAAGGUUUCCUGAGGAAGGCUCGUCCGCUCAGGGUUAGUCGGGACCUAAGCCGAGGCCGAAAGGCGUAGGCGAUGGAUAACAGGGUGAUAUUCCUGUACCACCUCCUCACCAUUUGAGCAAUGGGGGGACGCAGGAGGAUAGGGUAAGCGCGGUAUUGGAUAUCCGCGUCCAAGCAGUUAGGCUGGGAAAUAGGCAAAUCCGUUUCCCGUGAAGGCUGAGCUGUGAUGGCGAGCGAAUUAUAGUAGCGAAGUUCCUGAUUCCACACU
rnacentral:rRNA from 1 species